CUUUCCUUCCAUGAUGUUGACACAUGACCUCAUCAUCUUGCUCCUGAUUGUCUCUGAUUGAGGAACUGAGGACUUCCUUUUCUGACUUCUCCUGAGAAACUUUCACCGAAGAGACAGAUACCACACCUACCUGCCUGGAUUGUAUGCUCCAUACCUGUAUGGAUGAUUUCUACCUAGGAAGCCAUAUCAGUGACUGAAGUGUCUGCAGCUGCAGAGGAAACAUGGAUGCUUCUGUGGAUACAAAAUUGUCUUUCAUGAUGACUUUCAGCCAGGAAAGUUACUUCAGUUUUAAGUGAACAGACAUGCUGCGAAGAGGAUGAUUUGCACAGCCAGGGCCUUCAACAGAAGAAAGAUAUUAUGGAUGGAGUGUAACACCUGCUACUAUCGCCCAAACGCCAAGAACCCCCAUCCUGCAGCUGGUGGAUGUAGAAGCAGACACCAAAACUAAUCACUGAACUGA